CCUACGGGAGGCAGCAGUGGGGAAUAUUGGGCAAUGGGCGCAAGCCUGACCCAGCAACGCCGCGUGAAGGAAGAAGGCUUUCGGGUUGUAAACUUCUUUUCUCAGGGACGAAGCAAGUGACGGUACCUGAGGAAUAAGCCACGGCUAACUACGUGCCAGCAGCCGCGGUAAUACGUAGGUGGCAAGCGUUAUCCGGAUUUACUGGGUGUAAAGGGCGUGUAGGCGGGGACGCAAGUCAGAUGUGAAAACCACGGGCUCAACCUGUGGCCUGCAUUUGAAACUGUGUUUCUUGAGUACUGGAGAGGCAGACGGAAUUCCUGGUGUAGCGGUGAAAUGCUGAGAUAUCGCGCAGAACCCCGAUUGCGAAGGCAGCGUACCGGCUCCACACUGACGCUGAGGCACGAAAGCGUAGGUAUCGAACAGGAUUAGAUACCCUUGUAGUC
rnacentral:rRNA from 1 species